rnacentral:rRNA from 1 species
GGACUACCGGGGUAUCUAAUCCGGUUCGCUCCCCUAGCUUUCGCGCAUCAGCGUCAGGUACGGCCCAGCAAAUCGCCUUCGCCACCGGCGUUCCUAGCGAUAUCUGCGCAUUUCACCGCUACACCGCUAGUUCCACUUGCCUCUACCGACCUCAAGUCAACGAAGUAUCCGAUGCACGAUCACAGUUGAGCCGUGACUUUUCACAUCGGACUUUCGUAACCGCCUACGCGCCCUUUACGCCCAGUGAAUCCGGAUAACGCUCGCCCCCUACGUCUUACCGCGGCUGCUGGCAC